GUAGGGGAGCAAACGUUGUCCGGAUUUAUUGGGCGUAAAGGGCUCGUAGGCGGGUUCAACAAGUCGAUCGUGAAAGCCCGGGGGCUCAACCCCGGGAGGCCGGUCGAAACUGUUGUGACUAGAGUUCGGUAGGGGUGAGUGGAAUUCUCGGUGUAGCGGUGGAAUGCGCAGAUAUCGAGAGGAACACCAUUAGCGAAGGCGGCUCACUGGGCCGAUACUGACGCUGAGGAGCGAAAGCGUGGGGAGCAAACAGGAUUAGAAACCCUGGUAGUCCACGCCGUAAACGAUGAACACUAGGUGUAGCGGACUGAUUCACGUCUGCUGUGCCGUAGCUAACGCAUUAAGUGUUCCGCCUGGGGAGUACGGCCGCAAGGCUA
rnacentral:rRNA from 1 species